rnacentral:rRNA from 1 species
UACAGAGGUCCCAAGCGUUGUUCGGAUUCAUUGGGCGUAAAGGGUGCGUAGGUGGCGCCGUAAGUCAGGUGUGAAAUCUCGGGGCUCAACCCCGAAACUGCAUUCAAUACUGCCCUGCUCGAGUACUGGAGAGGAGAUCGGAAUUUACGGUGUAGCAGUGAAAUGCGUAGAUAUCGUAAGGAAGACCAGUGGCGAAGGCGGAUCGUCUGGACAGUUACUGACACUGAGGCACGAAGGCCAGGGGAGCAAACGGG